rnacentral:rRNA from 1 species
GAUGAACGCUAGCGGCGUGCUUAAAACAUGCAAGUCGAACGAACACUUCGGUGUUAGUGGCAAACGGCUGAGUAACGCGUGGGUGACCUGCCUGGAAGUGGGGAAUAACUGCCCGAAAGGGUGGCUAAUACCGCAUGUGAUGGCGAGACCGAUCUCGUCAUGAAAGUCUUCGGACGCUUCGAGAGGGGCCCGCGUUCGAUUAGCUAGUUGGUGGGGUAACGGCCUACCAAGGCGACGAUCGAUGGCUGGUCUAAGAGGAUGAUCAGCCAGACUGGGACUGCGACACGGCCCAGACUCCUACGGGAGGCAGCAGGUAGGAAUUUUGGGCAAUGGGCGAAAGCCUGACCCAGCAACGCCGCGUGGGUGAUGAAGGCCUUCGGGUCGUAAAGCCCUUUUUCAGGGGAAGAUGAUGACGGUACCCUGAGAAUAAGCCCCGGCUAACUACGUGCCAGCCGCCGCCGUAAAAC